CAUACUUUUGUCUUUGACAGAUAUCACAAGCACGCACAAAUUCUCUCACCGACUUCUGCAUUCCCAGCCAAUAUAAAUUAUCCGCCAGCUUCCGAUAGGUUCUCAAGAAACCUGAAUGUCCACCAGUAGGAGUGCAAUGAAAUACCUCCAACAGUAGAGGGAUAGAUGGGGACUUAGGAGAAAGAACCAGCCUGCCAUGAUAAAACAACACACCUUGCUUAACAAAAUAGCCUGGCUUAGAAUCAGGAGCAGACAACACGGUUUGUAUCAUGUCCUGAAUUUCUGGAUCAUCUUUCACCUCAUCUAAUUUUUUUUUGCUAUCGGUCCAUUGCGGGUACGAAAUCAAGGUACCAUGGAUCAUCUUUCACCUCAUCUAAUUUUUUUUUGCUAUCGGUCCAUUGCGGGUACGAAAUCAAGGUACCCAAAUCAGCAUCGUCAUCACGUCUGGAUAGAGCAUCAGCAGCUUUGUUA
rnacentral:lncRNA from 1 species